GAGUUUGAUCCUGGCUCAGAACGAACGCUGGCGGCGUGCUUAACACAUGCAAGUCGAACGUGAUCCGGAGCUUGCUCCGGUGAAAGUGGCGCACGGGUGAGUAACGCGUGGAUAAUCUGCCCUGGUAUCUGGGAUAACAUCUCGAAAGGGGUGCUAAUACCGGAUAAGCCUACGGACUCUUCGGAGUCUGCAGGAAAAGGUGGCCUCUAUUUAUAAGCUACCGUAUCAGGAUGAGUCCGCGUACCAUUAGCUAGUUGGUGGGGUAAUGGCCCACCAAGGCUACGAUGGUUAGCUGGUCUGARAGGAUGAUCAGCCACACUGGAACUGAGACACGGUCCAGACUCCUACGGGAGGCAGCAGUGGGGAAUUUUGCGCAAUGGGCGAAAGCCUGACGCAGCAACGCCGCGUGAGUGAUGAAGGCUUUCGGGUCGUAAAGCUCUGUCGAGGGGAAAGAAGUGUAUUAGGGCUAAUAUCCCUGAUACUUGACGGUACCCCUAAAGGAAGCACCGGCUAACUCCGUGCCAGCAGCCGCGGUAAUAC
rnacentral:rRNA from 1 species